UCUCCUCAUUCAACUCCUUCAGAGAUCGAUCUCUCUUCUUUGCAAGUGCAACUCCUCAUACACUCAACCCCCCCCCCCCCCCCCUCAAUCAUGGCUGCUGCAGUUUCCACCAUUGGAGCUGUCAACAGAGUACCGCUGAGCUUAAAUGGCUCCAGCACUGGAACUUCCGUUCCAAUGUCAGCCUUCUUGGGCAGCAGCUUGAAGAAAGUGAGCUCAAGAAUCAUGACCUCCAAGAUUACAUCUGGGAAUGGCAAGGUUUUUGCAGAGUAUGAUGAGGAGAAGCAGACCCCUAAGGACAGAUGGGCAGGACUUGUCACCGAUCAAUCUGAUGACCAGCAAGACAUUACCAGAGGAAAGGGUAUGGUGGACUCACUCUUCCAAGCCCCCCAGGACAGCGGAACUCACUAUGCUGUCAUGAGCUCUUAUGACUACAUCAGUACUGGUCUUCGCCAAUAUAACUUGGACAACACCAUGGGUGGUUUUUACAUUGCUCCUGCCUUCAUGGACAAACUUGUUGUUCACAUCACCAAGAACUUCAUGACCCUGCCUAACAUCAAGGUUCCUCUGAUCCUGGGUAUUUGGGGAGGCAAAGGUCAAGGCAAAUCCUUCCAGUGUGAGCUUGUUUUUGCCAAGAUGGGGAUUAACCCCAUCAUGAUGAGUGCUGGAGAACUUGAAAGUGGAAAUGCUGGAGAGCCAGCUAAGUUGAUCAGGCAAAGGUACCGUGAAGCGGCAGACAUAAUAAGAAAGGGAAAGAUGUGCUGCCUUUUCAUCAAUGACCUCGACGCAGGAGCUGGUCGUCUUGGUGGAACCACACAAUAUACUGUCAACAACCAGAUGGUUAAUGCCACCCUCAUGAACAUUGCUGAUAACCCAACAAAUGUCCAGCUCCCUGGUAUGUACAACAAGGAGGAGAACCCUCGCGUCCCCAUCAUUGUCACUGGUAAUGACUUCUCUACAUUGUAUGCUCCUCUUAUCCGCGAUGGUCGUAUGGAGAAGUUCUACUGGGCUCCUACCAGAGAUGAUCGUAUUGGUGUGUGCACCGGUAUUUUCAAGACUGACAAUAUUGCUAAGGAAGACAUUGUCACGAUUGUUGACUCGUUCCCAGGCCAAUCAAUUGAUUUCUUCGGUGCCCUGAGGGCCAGAAUUUAUGAUGAUGAAGUAAGGAAGUGGGUCGUAGAUGUUGGUGUUGAUGCCGUUGGAAAGAAGCUUGUGAACUCAAAGGAAGGACCUCCAGAAUUCGAGCAACCAAAGAUGACCCUGGAGAAGCUCCUUGAGUAUGGAAACAUGCUUGUCCAGGAGCAAGAGAAUGUGAAGAGAGUCCAAUUGGCUGACAAGUACCUGAGUGACGCCGCUCUCGGUGAUGCCAAUCAAGAUGCUAUCAGUAGUGGAAAUUUCUACGGUUAGACCCCUUGAUCCUAGAGGCCUUGAUGGGAGGUUUGAAUCCAGCUUCUUGCAAUAACUUGAGGGCAAAGCAGCCCAGCAAGUGGGUGUUCCAGUACCAGAAGGUUGCACCGAUCGUAACGCAGCAAACUUUGACCCAACAGCUAGGAGUGAUGAUGGAACCUGCCUUUACACAUUGUAGGCCUUUUCUAGGUAUUGAGGUGGGAGGAGAAACACUUGAUGAUAUAAGGAUGUGGAUUGUCAAAUAUUGUAUGUUGUUUUUCCCUUGUGUUUUACAGUGGAUUUCUUGUCCUCUAAUUUUGGGUGAUUUUACGUAUAUCUAAGUACGAUCUUUAAAAGUUUCUUUUGUCAUUA